UACGUAGGGUGCAAGCGUUAUCCGGAUUCACUGGGGUUAAAGGGUGCGUAGGUGGGCAGUUAAGUCAGUGGUGAAAUCUCCGGGCUCAACCCGGAAACUGCCAUUGAUACUAUCUGUCUUGAAUAUCGUGGAGGUAAGCGGAAUAUGUCAUGUAGCGGUGAAAUGCUUAGAUAUGACAUAGAACACCAAUUGCGAAGGCAGCUUACUACCCGAAUAUUGACACUGAGGCACGAAAGCGUGGGGAUCAAACAGG
rnacentral:rRNA from 1 species